UGGGUUGUAGAGAAGGUGAGGCAGCUCUACACCAUGCUGCCAUCCACUGGUUAACCUCCGAAAGUGAAGGGUUUCCAGGGCAGAGGAUGCCCCUCUGCCACCUUCAGAGGGGCAGUGCCCUGCUGGCCAACAUUAA
ensembl:snoRNA